UACGAAGGGGGCUAGCGUUGCUCGGAAUCACUGGGCGUAAAGCGCACGUAGGCGGAUCUUUAAGUCAGGGGUGAAAUCCUGGAGCUCAACUCCAGAACUGCCUUUGAUACUGGGGAUCUCGAGUCCGGAAGAGGUGAGUGGAACUCCGAGUGUAGAGGUGAAAUUCGUAGAUAUUCGGAAGAACACCAGGGGCGAAGGCGGCUCACUGGUCCGGUACUGACGCUGAGGUGCGAAAGCGUGGGGAGCAAACAGG
rnacentral:rRNA from 1 species